AUUGAACGCUGGCGGCAUGCUUUACACAUGCAAGUCGAACGGUAACAGGGUGCUUGCACCGCUGACGAGUGGCGAACGGGUGAGUAAUGCAUCGGAACGUACCCAGUCGUGGGGGAUAACGUAGCGAAAGUUACGCUAAUACCGCAUACGUCCUGAGGGGAGAAAGCGGGGGACCGUAAGGCCUCGCGCGAUUGGAGCGGCCGAUGUCGGAUUAGCUAGUUGGUAGGGUAAAGGCCUACCAAGGCGACGAUCCGUAGCGGGUCUGAGAGGAUGAUCCGCCACACUGGGACUGAGACACGGCCCAGACUCCUACGGGAGGCAGCAGUGGGGAAUUUUGGACAAUGGGCGCAAGCCUGAUCCAGCCAUGCCGCGUGAGUGAAGAAGGCCUUCGGGUUGUAAAGCGUCUUUCAGCCGGAAAGAAAACGACACGGGUUAAGUAACCUAGUGUGGAUGACGGUACCGGAAGAAGAAGCACCGGCGUAACUACGUAGCCAGCAGCCGCGGUAAU
rnacentral:rRNA from 1 species